UAGGGCAUGUUUGGUAUGGCUCACUAAAUGGGACUGUGCUAUAUUAGACCUGAAGCCCAUGUUUGGUUAGCAAGAGGACUAAUGUAAAUGGGAUAGUAGAGCCCAACAGUAAAAAAAACGCCUCACUCGUUCUCCUUAUACAGAGAAGCUCAAAAUGAGUUCGCAAAAUAAGCCUUCGCUAUAGAACACGCCUCUCUCCAGUUCACUUCUUCUCUGCGACUCCACUCCACCUCUCCUGCGUUCAACAUCGACUCAUCUUCUUCGAAUCUUGACGCAAGUACUAAUAUUGGUCUUGUUGGAUCUUCCUGGACUGCUGUUCUUCUCUACGUACACACUUCUUGUUCUCUUCUGGGCAGAGAUAUAUCACCAGUCCGACGCAGCACCAAACGUAGGUCAAUAC